rnacentral:rRNA from 1 species
UACGUAGGAUGCGAGCGUUGUCCGGAAUUAUUGGGCGUAAAGGGCUCGUAGGCGGUUUGUCGCGUCGGGUGUGAAAACUCAGGGCUUAACCCUGAGCCUGCUUCCGAUACGGGCAGACUAGAGGUAUGCAGGGGAGAACGGAAUUCCUGGUGUAGCGGUGAAAUGCGCAGAUAUCAGGAGGAACACCGGUGGCGAAGGCGGUUCUCUGGGCAUUACCUGACGCUGAGGAGCGAAAGUGUGGGGAGCGAACAGG